rnacentral:tmRNA from 1 species
GGGGCUGAUAAUUGGAUUCGACAAAAAUAUCAAAAAAUUACAGAUGCAUGCCGAGGAACGGUGGCCUCGUAAAAAACCGUAAAAAUAUAGUUGCAAACAAAAAAAAUUACGCUUUAGCAGCUUAAAAAACUGUUUUAAAGCCCUUUCAUUUUAAAUUGAUUCUCUUGACAAAAUUUAAAAAGUUGUAGAAAGGUCAUAUUCAAAUAAGAGAUAAUAUGUAGCAUUCUUACUACCUAUAUAUUAAAAUAUUAGUAAGAUAAAUAUCUAAAUCAUUUUUUUCUAUAUUUUUUUUAGAAUAUUUAUAGUUUUUUAAAAAAUAGAAUAAGCAUGUAGAACCUUAAUUCUAGAAUUUUUGGACGCGGGUUCAAAUCCCGCCAGCUCCAUAU